UAUUUCAUUGCUUCAUCAUCAGUAAAUAUAUAAUACAAGGGAGUGUACAAAAGAAUAUUCUAGAUUUCUACAGCUGUAAGUUAGUUCCUUAAAUUAUGGAAUAUGUUAAGAAUAUAUUGAUAACGGAAAUCAGAGUGGCAGUAUUCUGGUGAAACGGAAGAUGAGACAGCAAGGAUGAACAAGUACUGAUACUGUGAUUCGUUGUCAACUGAGCUGGAGGCUGAUGUAUAUAUCAAUUCUUGACACCCCCCUUCAAGCUGGACGGUACUGAAGUAACUCCUAGCUUG
rnacentral:lncRNA from 1 species